AAACUACUCUAUGAUGCUAUAAUGGUAGACACCUGUCCUUAAGCAUGUGUGCAAACACACGGAGUGUUUAGCUCCAAGAGUGAACCCUAAUGUCACCAUGGACUUUGGGGGACUCUGCUGUGUCAUCAUAGGUUCAUCAGCUGUACAAAUGUGUCACUGUGUUGGGGAAGGUUGAUAAUGGGGAGGCUUAUGCAAGGGUGAGGUGGCAAUCUUGGCACCUUCUGGGCCAUAUCAUUGUGAACCUAAAACUGCUCUAAAAGCUGGAUUUCAGAGGGCAGGAGCUCUGUUUCCUACCCCUUCCCGCCUUCACAGUGCUGAUUGACAGCAUGUCAUGAAAUACUGGCAUUUACUGCGUGAGGCAGAUCUGUAGAAGAGAUUCAAUAGUUGUAAAGGAUGGGAGGGUGUGAAGCAGCUUGGAACUCACAACAAAGAAAACCAGGAGGGAAAAAAUUAGAUAAAACAACUUGCGACCACGGGAUCUUUUCCUUGUGUCUAUUGGACAGCAAUGCCAAAUGGAUUUUCUGGUUUCAAAGAAAAGCCAGUUCUUCCUCCCCACUCUGUAGCCUGUGGUCUUAGAACAUCCAGAGGCCAUUAAAAAAAUAAAAUAAAAAACCUUGGUGUUCUUUCAG
ensembl:lncRNA